GUUGGAGACAAUGAAUAAUUUAGGAUUUUGACAUGGUCUUGUUCUCUGAAUAAAAAUGUUUUGGUGCAAAGUCUUUGAGGAAGAAAAAAAAGGUUUCCACAUUUCUUUUGAGGAAAAUCACACAAUGAUAUUACUAGGCGCCACAUUUGGCCAAACACAUUAUAAUACUAUAAAUAGCAAAUCACACAAGAUACCAUCAUAAUAAAAGUGGUAAGUUGGAAAAAUAGUUAAAGCCCCAACAACAACUGUUCCCUAGACGACGGCAGCCCCUUGCACCUCUCAGAUGUUUUAAAAAUUUAACGAGGCAAGUCGGUUAACAACAAAUUCUUAUUUACAAUGACGGCCUACCGGGGAACAGUGGGUUAACUGCCUUGUUCAGGGGCAGAACGAUAGAUUUCGGUUACUUGCCCAACGUUCUAACCACUAGGCUACCCAGCCACCCCUGAUUCAGAGGGUUAAAUGCGGAAGACACAUUUCAGUUCAAUGCAUUCAGUUGUGCAACUGACUAGGUCUCCCCCUUUUACCUAUGUUGACUAGUCAUCAUUUAACAUUUCAUUUAGGGUGAUCAUGAUCGUCUGGCUGACAAAGUAGGCACUUAAAAGUUAACUCCUGAAGUGACUUGGGAAGCAUCCCAAAUAGUACCCUGUUCCUUAUAUAGUACACUACUUUUAAACCGGGCCCAAAAGGGCUCUGGUCAACAGUAGUACAGUAUACAGGGAAUAGGGUGCCAUUUGGGACGUAGGCUAACUCAAUUCCCUCACACGCUGAGGAUGUGCUCAUUUAUAAAUUUAACUUAUUUUAAUUUACAGUAACUGUAAAUGCAAUAUUGUACUAUAUUAGAUUAUAAACUAGGCGGUUCGAGCCCUAAAUGCUGAUUGGCUGACAGCCAUGGUAUAUCAGACCCUAUACCAUGGGUAUAGGUUUUAACUGCUCUAGUUACGUUGGUAACCAGUUUAUAAUAGCAAUAAGACCCCUCGGGGAGGUUGUGGUAUAUGGCCAAUACAGAUAUAGCACGGCUAAGGGCCAGGAAUUCCGCAAUGCGUUGUGCACACGAACAGUCCUUAGCCGUGGUAUAUUGGCCAUAUACCACACCUCCUCGGGCCUUAUUACUUAAGUUGGACAUACAUGUGCAUUGUUUUUUUUGAUGCAAUCAAAAAGUUGACUAUGAGAAAGUUGACAUAGUUGACUAUGAAGAACUCUCAUAAAGAAGGAAGAGAAGAAGAAGAAGGAAGAGAAGAAGAAGAAGGAAGAGAAGAAGAAGAAGGAAGAGAAGAAGGAGAAGGAAGAGAAGAAGAAGAAGGAA
ensembl:lncRNA